rnacentral:misc_RNA from 1 species
GAAAUGCGAUAAGUAAUGUGAAUUGCAGAAUUCAGUGAAUCAUCGAAUCUUUGAACGCACAUUGCGCCCCCUGGUAUUCCGGGGGGCAUGCCUGUUCGAGCGUCAUUUCACCACUCAAGCCUCGCUUGGUAUUGGGCAACGCGGUCCGCCGCGUGCCUCAAAUCGACCGGCUGGGUCUUCUGUCCCCUAAGCGUUGUGGAAACUAUUCGCUAAAGGGUGUUCGGGAGGCUACGCCGUAAAACAACCCCAUUUCUAAGGUUGACCUCGGAUCAGGUAGGGAUACGCGCUGAACAUAAGC